rnacentral:rRNA from 1 species
GACGAACGCUGGCGGCGUGCCUAAUACAUGCAAGUAGAACGCACAGUUUAUACCGUAGCUUGCUACACCAUAGACUGUGAGUUGCGAACGGGUGAGUAACGCGUAGGUAACCUGCCUGGUAGCGGGGGAUAACUAUUGGAAACGAUAGCUAAUACCGCAUAAUAUUAAUUAUUGCAUGAUAAUUAAUUGAAAGGUGCAAUUGCACCACUACCAGAUGGACCUGCGUUGUAUUAGCUAGUAGGUGAGGUAACGGCUCACCUAGGCGACGAUACAUAGCCGACCUGAGAGGGUGAUCGGCCACACUGGGACUGAGACACGGCCCAGACUCCUACGGGAGGGAGCAGUAGGGGAACUUCGGCAAUGGACGAAAGUCUGACCGAGCAACGCCGCGUGAGUGAAGAAGGUUUUCGGAUCGUAAAGCUCUGUUGUAAGAGAAGAACGGGUGUGAGAGUGGAAAGUUCACACUGUGACGGUAUCUGACCAGAAAGGGACGGCUAACUACGUG